rnacentral:antisense_RNA from 1 species
CGCCAUUUUCGAGUGAUGCCUGAUCUCAUCAAUCUAGCGGGAGAGACAGGAUAACCUGUCCGAGAGUAUAGCGCCACUAUGACUCCGCCGGAAAAAUUACUUUAAAAAUCGCCAAAAAUUACUUGGAGCAAAGGGCAGUCGGCGGAGCUUCGCCAAGGCUGGCGCAGUCGGUUUAAUAAUGAUAGAAUGAAGACCGCAAUAAAAGAGACCUCUACUUAGCUCAGCAAUUCUUACCUUUCUUACCUAUUUGAUGAAGAUGUCUUUUGAAAGGUGUACUGCAAGGAACAAAAUGUUUGUAAAUUCUGCUUUUACCAAGGUGGAUAAUUACUGUACCUUCCUCAUGGAAAAAGUUUUAUUUAAAGUGUUACUUCUCAUUGAAUACUAUCAAAAAGGGAAAAAAAAAUGACCUAAACUUUUGAGAUAGAUUUGGCUCUAGUAAGUAUUUAGAUAUAUCACUUGCAUAUCUGGGAGAAGAAAUAAGAGACUAUCAUCAGUACAUUCCCAUCUACUAAAAAAUUUUAUUUUACACAUGUCAAGGGAUUACUUAUAACUUCCAUUUUAUUACUAAUCGCUUGAACCCUUUUAAUGAAGACCUAACUCCUCCACCAGAAAUUUAAGUUUAUGUUCUUACUUUGUUUACAUAUAAAAUACAUCUCAGGUAUUUCGGAUGUCUUUUUUUUUUUCUAAGCCUAUAUGAAAU